rnacentral:rRNA from 1 species
AACGAACGCUGGCGGCAUGCCUAACACAUGCAAGUCGAACGAGACCUUCGGGUCUAGUGGCGCACGGGUGCGUAACGCGUGGGAACCUGCCCUUAGGUUCGGAAUAACUCCCCGAAAGGGGUGCUAAUACCGGAUAAUGUCUUCGGACCAAAGAUUUAUCUCCUUUGGAUGGGCCCGCGUUGGAUUAGCUAGUUGGUAGGGUAAAAGCCUACCAAGGCGACGAUCCAUAGCUGGUCUGAGAGGAUGAUCAGCCACACUGGGACUGAGACACGGCCCAGACUCCUACGGGAGGCAGCAGUGGGGAAUAUUGGACAAUGGGCGAAAGCCUGAUCCAUCAAUGCCGCGUGAGUGAUGAAGGCCUUAGGGUUGUAAAGCUCUUUUACCCGGGAUGAUAAUGACAGUACCGGGAGAAUAAGCUCCGGCUAACUCCGUG